rnacentral:rRNA from 1 species
GAUGAACGCUGGCGGCGUGCCUAAUACAUGCAAGUCGAGCGAAGCGGGGACGGGUGAGUAACACGUGGAUAAACUCCUAUAAGACUGGGAUAAAUUGGGGCAACAGGAGCUAAACAGGAUACUUAUAGGUGGAUGCGCGCUGCAUUAGCUAGUUGGUAAGGUAACGGCUUACCAAGGCAACGAUGCAAAGCCGACCUGAGAGGGGGAUCGGCCACACUGGAACUGAGACACGGCCCAGACUCCUACGGGAGGCAGCAGUAGGGAAUCUUCCGCAAUGGGCGAAAGCCUGACGGAGCAACGCCGCGUGAGUGAUGAAGGUCUUCGGAUCGUAAAACUCUGUUAUUAGUGAAGCGGUACCUAAUCAGAAAGCCACGGCUAACUACGUGCCAGCAGCCGCGGUAAUUC